ensembl:lncRNA
UUGUGAGAACUGUUGCAAAACUAAGGAAGUCAAAACAGGAAAAUUCUCGCCUGACAGGUUCAUCUCAAUGCUUCUCUUAGCACUGAAAUGUUAUGUUCGUUUCUAGGAUUUGAAAAAGGUUUGAAAACAUUUUAAACACUGAACGUAAUCUGCUUUUAAUGUACUGUGUUCAGUGAACAGGGAAGUUUUGUUGUAAACCAUCUUCACUCCAUGAUCUCUGAAUAAUUCGCAUCACGCUUUAUUGAGUUUUCCUCUGAUGUGAUUUGGGAAGCAUGCAGGAUACCGUGGGGUGUAAUGCAGCAUUCCUGCUCUUCUGGGGAAUCUUGAAUUCUUACUUUCCUCUAGAUUGCUGCCAAACUGCCCCUACUUUUACUGCCAGUUAUUCUCCAGACCUUUAUGUCUCUGUUUCUACAACAACUCCAGACUCAAGUUCAUCUAUCUUCACCACAACAUCAGAAUCAAAUCCCCUCACAAACACAAGUACAACCGAGUCUUACUCCACCAUUCAAGCCACUACACAACUGAAGAACACUUCUCUCAGUGACACUUCUGACUCAAUAUCAGAACAACAAAGCACUGCCACUCAAACAACGGAGCCCUUAACCAAUGCCACUGCACAUGGGAUCAGUUCAACAGGAAGCACUAAAACAACUAGCUCGGACACAUCAACAACAUCUGAGAUACCUACACUGACUCCAAUUCAUGCAAACAAUGAUUCCAUUACCACCACUGAUUCCAAAAUACAAUAUAAUUUAGAGAAAACCUCAGUCAGCAAUACAUCCAUUUCUUGGUCUACUGGAACAUUAACUGAUACCCAAAGGCCUGAGCCAACAAACGAAACUUCAACCAACAGUAGUGUCAAAAAGACAGCAUUUUCUGAAUCGACAACAACAAUGCUUGUGUCUAAAACAACUGCAGGCUCUUCAUUUCCGUCUUCUCUAACAUCAUACUCCACUGUUACAACAACACAACAGCUUGAGUCCUCAGACAAUACUCAAGUCUCCAUCACAUCAAAUGAAUCGAAAACUACAAUGAUUUCCUCUACAACAACUCCAGACUCAAGUUCAUCUCUCUUCACCAAAACAUCAGAACCAAAUACCCUCACAAACACAAGUAAAACCGAGUCUUACUCAACCAUAAAAACAACUACACAACUGAAGAACACUUCUCUCAGUGACACUUCUGACUCAAGAUUAAACCAACAAAGCAUUGCCACUCAAACAACGGAGCCCUUAACCAAUGCUACUGCACAUGGGAUCAGUUCAACAGGAAGCACUAAAACAACUAGCUCGGAUACAUCAACAACAUCUGAGACACCUAAACUGACUCCAAUUCAUGUAAACAAUGAUUCCAUUACCACCACU